UCAGGAUGAACGCUAGCUACAGGCUUAACACAUGCAAGUCGAGGGGCAUCAGGAAGAAAGCUUGCUUUCUUUGCUGGCGACCGGCGCACGGGUGAGUAACACGUAUCCAACCUGCCCUUUACUCGGGGAUAGCCUUUCGAAAGAAAGAUUAAUACCCGAUAGCAUAAUGAUUCCGCAUGGUUUCAUUAUUAAAGGAUUCCGGUAAAGGAUGGGGAUGCGUUCCAUUAGGUUGUUGGUGAGGUAACGGCCCACCAAGCCUUCGAUGGAUAGGGGUUCUGAGAGGAAGGUCCCCCACAUUGGAACUGAGACACGGUCCAAACUCCUACGGGAGGCAGCAGUGAGGAAUAUUGGUCAAUGGGCGCUAGCCUGAACCAGCCAAGUAGCGUGAAGGAUGAAGGCUCUAUGGGUCGUAAACUUCUUUUAUAUAAGAAUAAAGUGCAGUAUGUAUACUGUUUUGUAUGCAUUAUAUGAAUAAGGAUCGGCUAACUCCGUGCCAGCAGCCGCGGUAAUACGGAGGAUCCGAGCGUUAUCCGGAUUUAUUGGGUUUAAAGGGAGCGUAGGUGGACUGGUAAGUCAGUUGUGAAAGUUUGCGGCUCAACCGUAAAAUUGCAGUUGAUACUGUCAGUCUUGAGUACAGUAGAGGUGGGCGGAAUUCGUGGUGUAGCGGUGAAAUGCUUAGAUAUCACGAAGAACUCCGAUUGCGAAGGCAGCUCACUGGACUGCAACUGACACUGAUGCUCGAAAGUGUGGGUAUCAAACAGGAUUAGAUACCCUGGUAGUCCACACAGUAAACGAUGAAUACUCGCUGUUUGCGAUAUACAGUAAGCGGCCAAGCGAAAGCAUUAAGUAUUCCACCUGGGGAGUACGCCGGCAACGGUGAAACUCAAAGGAAUUGACGGGGGCCCGCACAAGCGGAGGAACAUGUGGUUUAAUUCGAUGGUACGCGAGGAACCUUACCCGGGCUUAAAUUGCAGUGGAAUGAUGUGGAAACAUGUCAGUGAGCAAUCACCGCUGUGAAGGUGCUGCAUGGUUGUCGUCAGCUCGUGCCGUGAGGUGUCGGCUUAAGUGCCAUAACGAGCGCAACCCUUAUCUUUAGUUACUAACAGGUUAUGCUGAGGACUCUGGAGAGACUGCCGUCGUAAGAUGUGAGGAAGGUGGGGAUGACGUCAAAUCAGCACGGCCCUUACGUCCGGGGCUACACACGUGUUACAAUGGGGGGUACAGAAGGCAGCUAGCGGGUGACCGUAUGCUAAUCCCAAAAGCCUCUCUCAGUUCGGAUCGAAGUCUGCAACCCGACUUCGUGAAGCUGGAUUCGCUAGUAAUCGCGCAUCAGCCACGGCGCGGUGAAUACGUUCCCGGGCCUUGUACACACCGCCCGUCAAGCCAUGGGAGCCGGGGGUACCUGAAGUACGUAACCGCAAGGAGCGUCCUAGGGUAAAAC
rnacentral:rRNA from 1 species